UAUUUUUCGAGAAUGCAUGCUUAAUUUCGAUAUUUCAAGUUUUUCUUCUCUUUACCGUUUGCUAGAGUUAAUGCAUGCUUAGGAGUGUAGUGAUUUUCCUCAAUUCCUAUUUUAAUGGUUUAAUUUUUUGUUUUGAUUUAUGUUCUACUGUACAUAUAAGUUUUAGAUUCAUAUAUGUUUAGAAGAAAAGGAAAAAAAAAGGUAAAGAAUUCAGGCUUUUGCAAAGCAAAAGUAGAAUUUCUCAUUUAGUUUCAAGGAAAAGAGCUUAUUUGUGCUCCAGUCAGUGAGGGUAUUAACUACUGAGGGUCUAAUUUUUUGUUGUUUCUCUGUUCGAUGCUACUUUCUUUCAUUAGGUAAGCUUCAGUUAGUUUUAUGUUGAGAAACAAGUGAUUACUAAUUUUUGUUAUUGUUUCAGUAUUAGUUCUCAUUAAUAUGUUCUGUUGGUUCAAUGUCGGAGCAAGUUCAGGUGGUAAGAAUUAUCAUAAUCGCAAUUUCAUUCGAUCUAGUGAUUUCUUCUCAAAUUUGCCAUUUUGUUAUAUAUUGGUUAACAACUCAACCGACUAAAUUUCUAAGGUUAAUCUGAAAGUGCUUUUUGAAGGUAGAAAUAGAGUUAGCAACUGCCUCUGAAAUUAGUGAAUGAAUUCUACUCAUGAACACCGUGCAAAAUGCUGAAUAUAAUGUUGAAGAGAAUGUAUAUUCUUGAUAAAUUCUUAGAAUUUCUUCUCUUGCUGCUUUGUUUGAAAGAAGUGAGUUGGUAUUUUAAACCAUAGUGUUACAAAGAUUUUAUGAUGUCAAAAUGAACACUCAUUUCUAUUCCUCUACGACAGUAAUAUUACCUUCACUGUGACAACUUUCCUGCAUCGCAACCCAGCAGCAUGAAGUGCAUGAAAUUUUCUUGGAACAAUGAACGAUAAAACAUGCGUGACAUAUUGCCUCAAUAUACUCCAGUAAACCUUCAGAAUCUUGGUGAGACAGCGCGGCCUUAUUGUGUAGCUCUUAAUCCUCCUCACACACCUGAGCAUACAAUGCUUAAGUGGACCACGGGCCACCCUUUACCGUCAGUUGCUGCAUCAAUAGCUUCAUUCGAGCUAGAUCAAAUCCAAGGAAAGAGUGGAAUAUGAUUUUGUGGAGCAUAUCAAAGUAUGUAGAUUUUAGAUAAGCAUAUACCUGACUUGAACGACCUUUAGAUUUUUAUUGGGCAUAUAUAGUGAGGCUUGGGCUUGUAUGCCGCGUCUCAGGACUUCAAGAGAAAAUGAUGCUAGCAAAGGCGAAACUUGAAGACAUCUUAUUUUGCCUUUUGUUUUCAUGUUUAUGCACAAUUACAACAUGUUAUGAAUUUUUAUUAAAAAUUUCCUAUGUUAUUUUGUUUGAUAAAUGUCUUUACUGUUGUCUCUUCUAAUGUUGAUGAGUUGCCCUA